CCUUCGGAAACGGGGGCUAAUACCGGAUAUUCCUGUCUUCACGCAUGUGGGGGUGGGGAAAGCUUUUGCGGAUUGGGGUGGGCUCGCGGCCUAUCAGCUUGUUGGUGGGGUGAUGGCCUACCAAGGCUUUGACGGGUAGCCGGCCUGAGAGGGCGACCGGCCACACUGGGACUGAGACACGGCCCAGACUCCUACGGGAGGCAGCAGUGGGAAUAUUGCACAAUGGACGCAAGUCUGAUGCAGCGACGCCGUGUGAGGGAUGACGGCCUUCGGGUUGUAAACCUCUUUCGCCAGGGACGAAGCCGGCUUGUCCGGUGACGGUACUUGGAGAAGAAGCGCCGGCCAACUACGUGCCAGCAGCCGCGGUAAGACGUAGGGCGCGAGCGUUGUCCGGAUUUAUUGGGCGUAAAGAGCUCGUAGGCGGCUCAUUGCGUCAACCGUGAAAACCAGCAGCUCAACUGUUGGCUUGCGGUUGAUACGGGUGGGCUGGAGUUCGGUAGGGGAGACUGGAAUUCCUGGUGUAGCGGUGAAAUGCGCAGAUAUCAGGAGAAACACCGGUGGCGAAGGCGGGUCUCUGGGCCGAUACUGACGCUGAGGAGCGAAAGCGUGGGGAGCGAACAGGAUUAGAUACCCUGGUAGUCCACGCUGUAAACGUUGGGCGCUAGGUGUGGGGGGCCUCUCCGGUUUCCUGCGCCGUAGCUAACGCAUUAAGCGCCCCGCCUGGGGAGUACGGCCGCAAGGCUAAAACUCAAAGGAAUUGACGGGGCCCGCACAAGCGGCGGAGCAUGCGGAUUAAUUCGAUGCGACGCGAAGAACCUUACCUGGGUUUGACAUCGCCGGAAAUCUCGCAGAGAUGCGGGGUCCUUCGGGGCCGGUGACAGGUGAUGCAUGGUUGUCGUCAGCUCGUGUCGUGAGAUGUUGGGUUAAGUCCCGCAACGAGCGCAACCCUCGUUCCAUGUUGCCAGCGGGUUAUGCCGGGGACUCAUGGGAGACUGCCGGGGUCAACUCGGAGGAAGGUGGGGAUGACGUCAAGUCAUCAUGCCCCUUAUGUCCAGGGCUUCACGCAUGCUACAAUGGCCGGUACAAUGGGCUGCGAUACCGCGAGGUGGAGCGAAUCCCAAAAAGCCGGUCUCAGUUCGGAUCGGGGUCUGCAACUCGACCCCGUGAAGUCGGAGUCGCUAGUAAUCGCAGAUCAGCAACGCUGCGGUGAAUACGUUCCCGGGCCUUGUACACACCGCCCGUCACGUCACGAAAGUCGGCAACACCCGAAGCCCAUGGCCCAACCCCGUAAGGGGAGGGAGUAGUCGAAGGUGGGGCUGGCGAUUGGGACGAAGUCGAAACAAGGUAGCCGUACCGGAAGGUGCGGCUG
rnacentral:rRNA from 1 species